rnacentral:piRNA from 1 species
UAGAGUGCUGGGUUUUCAGGUGUAUAUAACC